GUACGUUUUGCAGUUUCUCUACAUUUUCUCCCCAAUUGAUUCCAGACGAUUUAAGCCACCAUUUAACGAGCCGUUUGCUCCUACUUAAGCCUCACACCCUCCUCUUCAUUUCCCCCCAAACGGCACACCUAAAGAGCCCCCAGGCUGCUCGAAUUUUGCCUCGCAUGUCUGCAGUACCGUCGCGGUAAAUCGUAGAUUGCGCGACGACACCAUAUUCGACUGCAGUUCGCGGGAAGCGUCUCCGGCGAGCGAUUUCCGGCGAAACAGUGUACCUCGACGUUCACGAAUUCUUCAUCGAGUUCGUCUUGUCAAGCAGAGCGCUGUGGGUUUGCUUCACCAUCGCUAAAGAUCAUCGAGGGAACUCAGGCAGCUAUCUCUGUUUGCUUCCCAUUGUGGUUGUGCUGAUUGCAACAUGUGUUUUUGCAAAGAGUGUACCAACUCCUCCUCUCACCAAGG